rnacentral:rRNA from 1 species
CCGAAAUAGCUUUAGGGCUAGCCUCAAAGGUAAGUAUCGGCGGUAGAGCUCUGAUUGGGCUAGGGGCCUUUCCAGGUUACCGAACCUUGUCAAACUACGAAUGGCGAUACUUUAGACUUUGGGAGUCAGACUGCGAGUGCUAAGAUCCGUAGUCAAAAGGGAAACAGCCCAGACCAUCAGCUAAGGUCCCAAAUGCCGUGCUAAGUGGCAAAGGAUGUGGAAUUUCCGAAACAACCAGGAUGUUGGCUUAGAAGCAGCCACCAUUUAAAGAGUGCGUAAUAGCUCACUGGUCGAGAGGUUUUGCGCCGAAGAUGUCCGGGGCUAAAGCACGGAACCGAAGCUAUGGCUUUGAGAGGUGGGAGGCGAGAAGUUAGAAAUGGGAAUAAAAAGUUACGAAGACUUGGAAGUAUAUCAACAAAGUUUUCGAUUAGCUGUAGUUAUCCAUAAACUAACGCAGAGUCUUCCAUCGGAAGAAAAGCGAGAACUAGGGUCCAGUAAUGAAGUCAGUGUGUUAUUGAAGAUUGCCAAAGAAGUAGGAUAUAGUGUUGAUAAUGAAAUUAUCAACGAAUAUGAUACGUUAGGUAAACGGAUAUAUAAGCUGAUAGAAAUCUGGAAAUGACAAGUGAGAAAUCUCACGUCUAACCUCUCGCAUCUCACCUCUCAAGGGGUAGGGGAGCGUUCUUAUCGGGUAGAAGCAUGACCGGAAGGACAUGUGGACUGGUAAGAAGUGAGAAUGCCGGUAUGAGUAGCGAAAAGGAAGGUGAGAAUCCUUCCCACCGAAAGCCUAAGGAUUCCUGAGCAACGAUCGUCGUCUCAGGGUAAGUCGGGACCUAAGCCGAGGCGUAAAUGCGUAGGCGAUGGACAAUCGGUUGAUAUUCCGAUACCGUCUGGAUUCGUUUGAGCAAAGGAGUGACACAGAAGGAUAGGUAAGCGUACGAAUGGAAGAGUACGUCUAAGCUUGUAGGGUGUAGAGGAGGCAAAUCCCCUCUGCGAGAGCCUGAGGAGUGAUGGGGAGUCUAUAGAGAUAUAGACGAAGUUAUUGAUUCCACACUGUCGAGAAAAGCUUCUAGUGAGAAGAAGGACGCCCGUACCGCAAACCGACACAGGUAGGCGGGGAGAGAAUCCUAAGGUGCGCGGGAAAACCCUCGUUAAGGAACUCGGCAAAAUGUCCCCGUAACUUCGGGAAAAGGGGAGCUGAGAAUUGUGUAGACCUAAACGGUUGAAGCAAAAUUUAGUCACAGAAGAGAGGCCCAAGCGACUGUUUACCACAAACACAGGUGCCUGCUAAAGCGAAAGCUGACGUAUAGGUGCUGACACCUGCCCGGUGCUGGAAGGUUAAGGGGAGUGCUUAGAAGUAAUUCGAAGGUGUGAACCGAAGCCCCAGUAAACGGCGGCCGUAACUAUAACGGUCCUAAGGUAGCGAAAUUCCUUGUCGGGUAAGUUCCGACCCGCACGAAAGGUGUAACGACUUGGGCACUGUCUCAACGAGGGACCCGGUGAAAUUGAAAUACCUGUGAAGAUGCAGGUUACCCGCGACUGGACAGAAAGACCCCAUGGAGCUUUACUGCAACCUGACAUUGGAUUCUGGUAAAUGAUGUACAGGAUAGGUGGGAGACUAAGAAGAAGGAACGCUAGUUUCUUUGGAGUCAUUGUUGGGAUACCACCCUUCAUUUACUGGAAUUCUAACUAGAGUAGUAACGACACUGAGGACAGUGUCAGGCGGGCAGUUUGACUGGGGCGGUCGCCUCCGAAAGAGUAACGGAGGCGCCCAAAGGUUCCCUCAGCGCGGUUGGAAAUCGCGCGAAGAGUGCAAAGGCAGAAGGGAGCUUGACUGCGAGACGGACAGGUCGAGCAGGGACGAAAGUCGGGCUUAGUGAUCCGGUGGUACCGAGUGGAAGGGCCAUCGCUCAACGGAUAAAAGCUACCCUGGGGAUAACAGGCUAAUCUCUCCCAAGAGUCCAUAUCGACGGGGAGGUUUGGCACCUCGAUGUCGGCUCAUCACAUCCUGGGGCUGAAGUAGGUCCCAAGGGUUGGGCUGUUCGCCCAUUAAAGUGGUACGUGAGCUGGGUUCAGAACGUCGUGAGACAGUUCGGUCCCUAUCCAUCGCGGGCGCAAGAGACUUGAAGGGAACUGCUCCUAGUACGAGAGGACCGGAGUGGACUGACCAAUGGUGUACCAGUUAUCCCGCCAGGGGUACAGCUGGGUAGCUACGUCGGGAACGGAUAAACGCUGAAAGCAUCUAAGCGUGAAACCGGCCUUAAGAUGAGGUCUCUCACAGAGUUAAUCUGGUAAGAUCCCUUGUAGAUGACAAGGUUGAUAGGUCGGGUGUGUAAGGGCAGUAAUGUCUUUAGCUGACCGAUACUAAUAGAUCGAGGGCUUGACUUA